GAAUACCGGUGGCGAAGGCGGCCCCCUGGACAAAGACUGACGCUCAGGUGCGAAAGCGUGGGGAGCAAACAGGAUUAGAUACCCUGGUAGUCCACGCCGUAAACGAUGUCUACUUGGAGGUUGUGCCCUUGAGGCGUGGCUUCCGGAGCUAACGCGUUAAGUAGACCGCCUGGGGAGUACGGCCGCAAGGUUAAAACUCAAAUGAAUUGACGGGGGCCCGCACAAGCGGUGGAGCAUGUGGUUUAAUUCGAUGCAACGCGAAGAACCUUACCUGGUCUUGACAUCCACAGAACUUUCCAGAGAUGGAUUGGUGCCUUCGGGAACUGUGAGACAGGUGCUGCAUGGCUGUCGUCAGCUCGUGUUGUGAAAUGUUGGGUUAAGUCCCGCAACGAGCGCAAC
rnacentral:rRNA from 2 species